rnacentral:lncRNA from 1 species
CAUGGCACGUACCCCCAACUAAUGUCACAAAGGUGUACUGUUGAACAAAAGAAGGAAGCAGAUGAGAAGCUAUGGAAGCCUCUAGAGCAUUUGGGAGGGAGAAGCAGCAGGCCAUUGGAAUUUCAUUCAUCUACUGGAUUCUCCUUGCCAAGUAAUUUCUGGGAAUUCCUCAGUCUUGCUCACAUGUUGUACUACUCUCUCCUGGAUGUCACUUGUCAACUCUACCAGCCCUCCUUUCUCCAGAUGGCUUCUUCAUAACCACCAGGUAAGCCAGCUCUUGCCAGCUCACACUUAACUUCUCUGAACUACAUCAGCUCUCUACAUUCCAUUCUGCUUUAUUCCAGUAUGGACACAUAGGUUUCCUUUAACCUUACAGAGCAUGCGUAAGACCAGAUAGCAGUAUCUGAAAAAUUUCUUCAGACAGCUUGGGGAUACUGCAACACAGAAGAGGAUAAUUGACAGGUUAGCUCCACUCAUGCUUCUAGGUCUUGCCCUUUAAGAGCUGGUUUCCUUCUGGCUCUGAU